rnacentral:lncRNA from 1 species
AUUAACACCCAGCAACCAGGAGAGGAGAGAGGCCUGGGGAAGACAGCCACCACCAAGUACACAAAGGUUGAAAGAGGACGUUUGUGGGAAGUAGACAUUUGUGAAUGUGGAUUUAGAAGAUUUUUCCCUGUGAUGAGCUGAGUCAUGGGUGAGAGCUGGAGAAAACAGAGCAACACAGGCAGCCCAGGGGCUGAGCAGGUCCUCCUACCUGAUCCAUCGCUCUGUCUGCAAGCUCUCCUGUCACAAGUGAGUGGCUGACAGCCUCCAGAAAACACCAGUCAGUUACACUGUGAUGUGCAGUCUGGCCAGGGCUCAGUGGAGAAGCCCACACUCAUUUAUCCAUCACUGAAUGUUGGUUGUGCCUCAGGAAACAGUCUGGUUGCCAGAUACAGACUGGCCAAGAAAAUGGACGUGAUUAGUCCUCUUUUGGUCCGUAUAAUGUGAAGACGGUCAUGUGAGCUAAUGUGUGCUGAGCAAAGGGAGGAUUUGGAUUCUUUUGCUUUAUCGGUCAAUCCUCUUCUCCCAUCAAAUCAAUGUGGAAAUCAACAGAGUCCCAAUGGCCUUCUUUGGUAAAGCCCUU